UACGAAGGGGCUAGCGUUGUUCGGAAUCACUGGGCGUAAAGGGCGCGUAGGCGGCUUUAUAAGUCGGGGGUGAAAGCCUGUGGCUCAACCACAGAAUUGCCUUCGAUACUGUAGAGCUUGAGACCGGAAGAGGUAAGUGGAACUGCGAGUGUAGAGGUGAAAUUCGUAGAUAUUCGCAAGAACACCAGUGGCGAAGGCGGCUUACUGGUCCGGUUCUGACGCUGAGGCGCGAAAGCGUGGGGAGCAAACAGGG
rnacentral:rRNA from 1 species